ACGUCUCAGUGCUGCACAAUUAGGUGGAGUGUCCUUUCGGACUCACCUAUUUUAACAAUCAAGAGAUUAAGGAAAUUAGACUGAAAAUCACACAUAUACACAUAUAUCACUCUUUAUGGGCGUGAAGAAUUGAAUUUUAAAUAUGUAAUCAGGUUAAAUAUUUAAAGAAGAAUUUUGUCACAUUUAAUACUUUUAUCUAACUCGAGUAACA
rnacentral:lncRNA from 1 species